rnacentral:rRNA from 1 species
CCCUUAGAUGUUCUGGGCCGCACGCGUGCUACACUGAGUGGAUCAGCGGGUCAGGUUGCGCGAAAGUGUUUCCUAAUCUUUAAAUCCGCUCGUGAUGGGGAUUGACGGUUGCAAUUUUCCGUCAUGAACGAGGAAUACCUUGUAAGCGCGGGUCAUCAUCCCGCGCUGAAUACGUCCCUGCCCUUUGUACACACCGCCCGUCGCUCCUACCGAUUGAGUGGUCCGGUGAGGCUUUGGGAUCUGAGCGGAAAGAGCGUUUCGCUGUUUCUGCCCGGAAAACUCAGUCGAACCUUAUCAUUGAGAGGAAGGAGAAGUCGGAACA